CGCUGUGAAGAUGCAGUGUACCCGCGGCAAGACGGAAAGACCCCGUGAACCUUUACUAUAGCUUGACACUGAACAUUGAGCCUUGAUGUGUAGGAUAGG
rnacentral:rRNA from 1 species